rnacentral:lncRNA from 1 species
UUUAUACGUCCUUAUCCUUCAUGAGCUGGCAAAUCUAUUCAGAAUCAUUCCGUUAGAGAGGAAUUUUUGGGCUGGAUUUGGUGGGGACCAAGGUAUGUGAAUCAUUUCCUCAAUUUGUCUGUAGCGAAAUCCACCAAAAAGUGUGGUCCUGUAUUAGCUCUAUUUUACUGAUGUGGAAUACUCAUGUAUUAUGGUUAAAAAUCCUAUUUUUUACCGUCCUGUCUUGAACUUGCAUUGUGUAUUGUUUAUUGUUGCAUUUGUUGUUCACAGAAUAUUAAAAUCGCAACUUUAGUGAAACAAUUACUUGCAUUUGUCUUUUAAGUUGCUAUUGUGUACAUGCUAAUCUGAUUUUCUUUAACAAUUUCACCCAUAAAUUUUUAGCAGGGCAUCCUCCUUUGAAGUUGAGUGCAUGACACUAGAAAGGGGGAUAUACUCUUAGUCCAAAAUCUGCGACACUAUGGCGGUAAUAGGCUGAGAUUCAUCAUACAAGAUUACGUUCGCGUGCAAAGAUUG